rnacentral:lncRNA from 1 species
CUCUCCUACAUGCUCUCGAUAACAGAAAGUGACAAUAUUCCUGGAACUUCCACCAAUCUCAUGGGCAUGAAACAACAUCUUACUCCUCUGGAUUCUCAGUCUCUGUUGGAGGCCUUGCUAAGCAGCCUUGAGAGUGGGAGCUUGUCCUUGUACAGUGCUGACCCAUCUUCACAGAGGAGAACAAGAGAAGAGCUAGGAGCUGGCAGAGGAGCCAGGGAGCAGCAGAUCCUGGUGCUCCGUACCCAAGGCCAUCCCCAAGGGAGGGUUACCCACGACCACAGGGAUUCAUUGCUCCUCUCCCCAACUCCAGUGAGGGACCUAGCAAAUAGCCCAAUGAAGGCCUUUCUCUCUGGCACCAUGGGUCAUGUCAAUCAAGUGUGUGAGAAAAAUAAUAAGUCUCCA